ACAACACCCGGCCACCCCAGGUGGGAUUUGGGAGGCUCAGGUGGGAUUUGGGCCAGUCCAGGUGGGAUUUGGGAGGCCCAGGUGGGAUUUGGGAGGCCCAGGUGCGAUUUGGGCCGGCCCAGGUGGGAUUUGGGAGGCCCAGGUGGCAUUUGGGCAGCCCAGGUGGGAUUUGGGCCAUCCCAGGUGGGAUUUGGGAGGCCCAGGUGGGAUUUGGGAGGCCCAGGUGCGAUUUGGGCCAGCCCAGGUGGGAUUUGGGCCACCCCAGGUGGGAUUUGGGCCACCCCAAGUGGAAUUUGGCAGUCCCAGGUGGGAUUUGGGCCAGCCCAGGUGGGAUUUGGGCCAGCCCAGGUGGGAUUUGGGCCAGCCCAGGUGGGAUUUGGGCCACCUCCCCCAGCCCCACUCACAGCUGGCGUCGCCCUCCUGGCCCAGGAUUUUUCGGUAGCCGCCGUGGGAGAGGAUGCGCACGAGGGUCUGGGCCGUGUAGCACACCAUGUCC